UACGUAGGGAGCAAGCGUUGUCCGGAAUCACUGGGCAUAAAGCGCACGUAGGCGGUGUCGUAAGUCGGGUGUGAAAUCCCUCGGCCUAACCGAGGAACUGCGCCCGAUACUGCGAUGCUUGAGGACCAGAGGGGUGCAUGGAAUUUCCGGUGGAGCGGUGAAAUGCGUUGAUAUCGGAAGGAACUCCGGCGGCGAAAGCGAUGCACUGGCUGGUUUCUGACGCUGAGGUGCGAAAGCCAGGGGAGCAAACGGG
rnacentral:rRNA from 1 species